UACGUAGGGUGCGAGCGUUAAUCGGAAUUACUGGGCGUAAAGCGUACGCAGGCGGCUGUGCAAGACAGGUGUGAAAUCCCCGGGCCCAACCUGGGAACUGCAUUUGUGACUGCACAGCUAGAGUCCGUAAGAGGGGGGUGGAAUUCCACGUGUAGCAGUGAAAUGCGUAGAGAUGUGGAGGAACACCGAUGGCGAAGGCAGCCCCCUGGGAUGAGACUGACGCUCAUGUACGAAAGCGUGGGGAGCAAACAGG
rnacentral:rRNA from 1 species